GACCCAAUGUGGCAUAGUGGUUUGAGCAUUGUGCUAGGACCCUGCAGACCAGGGUUCGAAUCCCAGCUUGGCCA